GUUCGAAUCCUGCACGACCCACCAAUUUAACAUCAAACUCAGAUGUUAAGCGUGAAGGAUAACGUUGCGUCAGCAACGGCCCGCAGGGCGAGCGAAGCGAGUCAUCCUGCACGACCCACCA
rnacentral:sRNA from 1 species